rnacentral:rRNA from 1 species
GAUGAACGCUGGCGGCGUGCCUAAUACAUGCAAGUCGAGCGAACGGACGAGAAGCUUGCUUCUCUGAUGUUAGCGGCGGACGGGUGAGUAACACGUGGAUAACCUACCUAUAAGACUGGGAUAACUUCGGGAAACCGGAGCUAAUACCGGAUAAUAUUUUGAACCGCAUGGUUCAAAAGUGAAAGACGGUCUUGCUGUCACUUAUAGAUGGAUCCGCGCUGCAUUAGCUAGUUGGUAAGGUAACGGCUUACCAAGGCAACGAUGCAUAGCCGCCCUGAGAGGGUGAUCGGCCACACUGGAACUGGGACACGGUCCAGACUCCUACGGGAGGCAGCAGUAGGGAAUCUUCCGCAAUGGGCGAAAGCCUGACGGAGCAACGCCGCGUGAGUGAUGAAGGUCUUCGGAUCGUAAAACUCUGUUAUUAGGGAAGAACAUAUGUGUAAGUAACUGUGCACAUCUUGACGGUACCUAAUCAGAAAGCCACGGCUAACUACGUG